CUACGGGUUGCUCCAGUGGGGGAUAUUGCGCAAUGGGGGAAACCCUGACGCAGCAACGCCGCGUGAAGGAAGAAGGCCUUCGGGUUGUAAACUUUUGUCUUUUGGGAAGAAGAAUGACGGUACCAAAGGAGGAAGCCACGGCUAACUACGUGCCAGCAGCCGCGGUAAUACGUAGGUGGCGAGCGUUGUCCGGAAUUACUGGGUGUAAAGGGCGUGUAGGCGGGCAGAUAAGUCAGAUGUGAAAUACCGGGGCUCAACCCCGGGGCUGCAUUUGAAACUGUAUGUCUUGAGUGCCGGAGAGGAAAGCGGAAUUCCUAGUGUAGCGGUGAAAUGCGUAGAUAUUAGGAGGAACACCAGUGGCGAAGGCGGCUUUCUGGACGGUAACUGACGCUGAGGCGCGAAAGCGUGGGGAGCAAACAGGAUUAGAUACCCUAGUAGUC
rnacentral:rRNA from 1 species